UUUGACUUACACUUUCACAACACAGUUCAUCAUCAGAGGAAGUCGGGACAGGAACUCCAAACAAGGCAGGAACCUAGAGGCAGGAGCUGAUGCAGA